UGCCAAAAAGGAACUGGUGGCCUUGCC
rnacentral:piRNA from 1 species